UCGGGAAUUUUGGGCAAUGGGCGAAAGCCUGACCCAGCAACGCCGCGUGAAGGAUGAAGCAUUUCGGUAUGUAAACUUCGAAAGAAUAGGAAGAGUAAAUGACGGUACUAUUUAUAAGGUCCGGCUAACUACGUGCCAGCAGCCGCGGUAAUACGUAGGGACCAAGCGUUGUUCGGAUUUACUGGGCGUAAAGGGCGCGUAGGCGGCAUGACAAGUCACUUGUGAAAUCUCUGGGCUUAACCCAGAACGGCCAAGUGAUACUGUCGCGCUAGAGUGCAGAAGGGGCAAUCGGAAUUCUUGGUGUAGCGGUGAAAUGCGUAGAUAUCAAGAGGAACACCUGAGGUGAAGACGGGUUGCUGGGCUGACACUGACGCUGAGGCGCGAAAGCCAGGGGAGCAAACGGGAUUAGAUACCCAAGUAGUCCCUGAGCGGGCUGGCAAGGCGCAU
rnacentral:rRNA from 1 species